ACCAGACUCCUACGGGAGGCAGCAGUGGGGGAUAUUGCACAAUGGGGGGAACCCUGAUGCAGCGACGCCGCGUGGGUGAAGAAGCGCCUCGGCGCGUAAAGCCCUGUCAGCAGGGAAGAAAAUGACGGUACCUGAAGAAGAAGCCCCGGCUAACUACGUGCCAGCAGCCGCGGUAAUACGUAGGGGGCAAGCGUUAUCCGGAUUUACUGGGUGUAAAGGGGGCGCAGACGGCGAUGCAGGCCAGGAGUGAAAGCCCGGGGCCCAACCCCGGGACUGCUCUUGGAACUGCGUGGCUGGAGUGCAGGAGGGGCAGGCGGAAUUCCUGGUGUAGCGGUGAAAUGCGUAGAUAUCAGGAGGAACACCGGUGGCGAAGGCGGCCUGCUGGACUGCAACUGACGUUGAGGCCCGAAAGCGUGGGGAGCAAACAGGAUUAGAUACCCUAGUA
rnacentral:rRNA from 1 species